rnacentral:rRNA from 1 species
UACGAAGGUUGCAAGCGUUACUCGGAAUUACUAGGCGUAAAGGGCAGGUAGGUGGUUCGGUAAGUCUGUUGUGAAAGCUCCUUGCUUAACGGGGAGAGGUCAACAGAUACUGCCGGACUUGAGUCUAGGAGAGGGUACUGGAAUUCCCGGUGUAGCGGUGAAAUGCGCAGAGAUCGGGAGGAACACCAAUGGCGAAAGCAGGUACCUGGACUAGUACUGACACUCAGCUGCGAAAGCUAGGGGAGCAAACAGG